CCACAUUUUAUAUUUGUAACUACACGUUACACUACUUGAUGGCGUUAGUGUCAAUUACAAUGUUAGAUACCGGAAACAUACGGUCCGCGACAAUACGGUUUGUGUGUUUAUUUUUUCCGGAUUUCUACAGUCCGGGACUAUACAGUGGACGUAUUUGCUUUUUCCGAGAUAAUACGGUCCGUGACAAUACAGUUGGUUACUUCACGGAUUUCUCAAGUCCGUGAUAAUACGGUACGAAUAUUUUGCAAUUCCGGAAAUAUACCGGUCCACAAAAAUACGGUCCGUGAGAUUACUUUCCGGGGUUUUAUUAAAACGGCAUUAUUUCCUAAAUAUUUUACCGUUUUUUCGGUCGUUUAAAUUUGAUAAGAAAACUCGAGAGAAAAUCGAAAAAUGACCUCUCUGAAGUAUCUCGCUAAAAAUACAGCGGAUUCCGCAUAAUUGUGGUUGCCCGUUUUAACCGAAAUGAGUGUCGUUAUACAUUACAGCCGGGACUAAACCAUUAUGCCCAUAUUAGGUGGCUGCCCGCAUUAAACGGUCGUCACAUUAAUCCACUGUACUAUCGUUUUUUUUUUUAUUUUUUUUUUUCACAGAGGCUAGAAGAAAAAAGCCGGGCAACUUUGCACGAAGGUUUCAGCAUAACGCCAGAUAUGUGUUCCUGCCCGCAUUAAACGGUCGUCACAUUAAUCCACUGUACUAUCGUUUUUUUUUUUUUUUUAGAUUCUGAACAGAGCGGGGAAUGUACUGGUUUUACAUAGAUGUUUAUUAUGAUUAUUAUUAUUAAUAUUUUGUAUUUUUUCGAUUUUCAAGCGCAACGCCUUUUCUAAAAAUUAGAGUGGUACUUUACGAACGUCUGAGUUACCUAGCUCGGGGACACACGGGAAAAAACACGAUUUAUAAUACUCGUCUCAGAAUCGAUUUUCAUUAGCGAUAGUUUACCGUUACGUAAGGAUGUAAAUUAAAUUAAUCCAUGCACACUCCCUUCCAACAUUCCCGUUGAAACAGUAGCACAGCCAUUAGCAGCGCGAGCUCUCCGUAAUAUUAUUAUUAUAAAUAUUAAAUAUAGAAAAGUUUUCAAACUGCAGAACAGUAUAAGAUUUGAUAUACGGGCUGUACGUCUGUUUUGGACGAGUCCGAAGCGAUUCCCCUACUCGGUACUUAUAUAAUAUUGUUGUUAUUAUAUUGUAAUUUAAUUUUUCUUCUUUUUUUUUUAAUUUUUUCAAUGUACUAUUUGUUUCAAUUUUUUCCGAGUACCGGGACAUCGCUUUGAGAAAAAUUCAAAACAAUAAUUUUUUUUUUUUUUUUUUAAAUUCCUAUCCCCAAUGUGUGCGAUUGAAUUAUAUCUACUACUAGCUAAAACUUUUGAACUUGUUUACUGACCCGAAAGGC